GCCAGCCUCAGUCCCUCAGCCUGCAGCAUGGGCGUUCUUGAGAGGAUUACAGAAAGAAUCCUUGUUUUGUGCUUGGAGCCCUCGCUCCCAAGUAAAGGUAUUAUUUAUAAAUCCUUGCUAUUAUUGUGGCUGAGAAUAGGGAUUUUGCUAGUUUGGCACCUGUUCUUGGCAUAGGGUUUUCCUUGCUGUGGUUCGAUGAGGUUGUGUGUGUGUGUGUGUGUGUGUGUGUGAUGCCUGCUUCUCUGUUUGACACAAGUGUCUUAAAGUUACCUCCUGAUGCUUCUGAGUUUCUUUGCAGGCAUAUUAAAAGGCAAGCAUGGAAGCUCUUAAAAUGCUGAAAAUGCUUGUUUCAUAUUGUUCGAAGAGAUAAGCGGAAGGUAGGGUGGUGGGGAGAAUCUUUACUUAUCAGCGUCCUGGCAGGCUUUCAAUCUUUCUCCCCAUACCUGGGUGUGUGAUACCCUGGGAGCGCAGGCAAGGAGGCUUCAGCUGGGACUCGACCUGGUUUCAUCCACUGAGGUUGGUUCUCUUGUCCUCUCCACUGGUAGCGGGGCAGGAAUGGUCUGUUUCCUGGACAGAUAGCAGUAACUCCCAGCCCUGGAUCCUGUCGCCAGCCCCCUCUCCAAAGUGUCUGGUUUGGCGGCCGCAGAAGUUAACCAGUGGCAGGUCUUGCUGUCUGUGACUAAUUUCUGGCGCUGUGGUCCAAACCACUGAGCCUCUUGGGCUUUGCCGAUCAGAAGGUCAGCGGUUCGAAUCCCUGCGACGGGGUGAGCUCCCAUUUCUCGGUCCCUGCUCCUGCCAACCUAGUAGUUGGAAAGCACGCCAGUGCAAGUAGAUAAAUAGGUACCGCUGCGGCAGGAAGGUAAACGACGUUUCCAUGGUAUUCCGUUGUACCAGAAGGGGUUUAGUCAUGCUGGCCACAUGACUGGGAAAACUGGACAAGCGCCAGCUCCCUCAGCCUGGAAGCGAGAUGAGUGCUGCACCCCAUAGUUGCCUUGGACUGGACUUAACCGUCCAGGGGUCCUUUACUUUCCUUUUUUACCUUAGUUUCUCUCCAUCUUGUGUGCAGGAGAGAGAGAAAAAUAAGUAGUCCAAUGUGGGCACAAGAUUUGUGUGUACUUAAUAAAUGCUUCACAGUUUCAAAAAGUGGCUUUCUUUUCCGAGCACAAUUCAAAGUGUUGGUGCUGACCUUUAAUGCCCUAAACGGCCUCGGCCCAGUAUACCUGAAGGAACGUCUCCACCCCCAUCGUUCUGCCCGGACACUGAGGUCCAGCGCCGAGGGCCUUCUGGCGGUUCCCUCACUGCGAGAAGCCAAGUUACAGGGAACCAGGCAGACGGCCUUCUCGGUAGUGGCACCCGCCCUGUGGAACGCCCUCCCUUCAGAUGUCAAAGAGAUAAACAACUACCUGACAUUUAGAAGACAUCUGAACGCAGCCCUGUUUAGGGAAGUUUUUAAUGUGUGACAUUUUUAUGUAUUUUUAAUCUUUGUCGGAAGCCGCGCAGAGUGGCUGGGAAAACCCAGCCAGAUGGGCAGGAUACAAAUAAAAUUAUUAUUAUUAUUAUUAUUAUUAUUAUUAAAUGUCACCUUAAGCAAAGGGUGUUGUUUUUAACACGAAACACACGAAUCUGUCCCUCCUUUCCUGCAGCAUAUGCUUGCUAUUAAAAUGGCGAUGGAGAAUCUUGUGUCCUAUGGGUGUCGAUAGGCUCUCAGCAGCUCCCUAUUGUGCUUGGCCAUUGGCCCUGCUGGCUGGGGCUGAGGGAGUCCAAUUCCACCCAGCUCCCUAGAGCCCACACUGAGUGACAGCGGCUGUCCAGGAUUUCAGAAAAGAAAAAAAAUCCCAGUCCUAGCUGGAGAUGCCAGGGAUUGAAUUUGGGACCUUUUGUGGGCAAGGCAGAUUCUCUGCCACUGAGCUGUGGCCCUUCCCAAAGAGUGAUUCAUCAUUCCGAGAAGAUCUGUCCACUUUGCCUGCCUGUAGGAGAAUCGCUCUCCAAAUCCCAGUGACUGAAACUCCAAGGACACACUUUUUCUUGGUGCCGGAGGUCUUGGCUGAAUGCAGAGCGGGAGGCUAAACUGCAUUUGCGAGAAAAGGGCAACCACAGAACAGGCUUUCCUGCAAAUGUUUCUCCUUAAUGCCAUCAAUUAACAGCUAUCCCAAAUUUCCCAACAGAAUAUAAAUUCUUUAGCCAUAUGUGAUACCUCUGUUAAUUAGCUUUAAAAAAAAAAGAGGACAACAACAGAUAACCCGGCACUGAUUUUUUUUUUAAAAAAAAACACAAACAAAAAACAGGAGGUGAGUGUAGCAGAAAUGAUACGCCCUCGCUGUCCCUCCCCCCUCCCGAAAAUAAAACCACACAGAAUUUCAACUUUCAGACAAACAACUUCAUUUACAAGUGUGGCUCUAAUUAGCUUCUGAAUUAGUAAAGCGGAGUCCCCCCCUCCCUCCCCCAGAUCAGCAAAAGCCCGGGGGGAAGCGGCGGAAUAGCGAGAAUCGCAUUUCCAAUUAUUUUGUUGAAUUGCUAAUUUAGUUAUUGUGGCUGCCGUAAUUGUGAAGGGUAUUGGGUGUGCAAUUCAAUUUGUUUUAAAUAUUUGUGGGAAGGCUGUUCGGUAAUGGAGCUGACCUGUUUUGCGGCCUAAAUUGAGAGAAGGGACUCGAACAAGGAGGUUUGUGGGGGCGGGCAGGGAGGGGGGAGAAAUAUGGGAGGAGAACGGAAUGGGGGGGGGGAAAUGUGGCUACAAAGCCGUCGUUUUUUUGUUUCAGUUUUUAUUUUGAUCUUUUCUCUCUUCAUCCCUCUUAAGACCGUUGAAGCAACAAAAGGUUUAAAUUAAAAGAUGAUAGCACUUUGAUCUGCCAGCUUUUGAAAGCUUUUGCCGCUUUGGAGGUAACCCUUCCGGGCAUUUUUAAUAUGUAGAUUUUUUUUUUAAGGCUAAAGUGUUUAAAUAUGCAUUUCCAGGGUUCAGUAGGGGUACUCUCUCUCUCCACCCUUUUAUUAAGUUUGUUAAAUCGAUUAAUGUAUUUAAGCACACACGAUACACACAGAUGCAUAUAUCUCUAUAUCUGUUAUGUACGUACGUAUUCUUCCUCCCCAAAUCUUAUAUUGGUUCUGUGAGAGCAAACACACAGAAUUGAAUCUGUUGUGCUAAUUUGAUAGGAUUUAACACCAUUUCAUCUAAAAUUAUGUGUAGGGUUUCAAAAUACACAUCUCACAGGGGCCUGUUUUGGAGUAAACGGACCCCUUUUUGUAUGCCUAGUAGGGGAGAAGCUGCUCCAUUAGCUAUACCUGCAAUUAAAUUCAGUUGAGUAACAGUGGGGGAGAAAUGUCUGUGUGUGUGUGUGAGAGAGAGAGGAGGAGGGGGCAUUUGUAAAACCGUUUUAAUGGAUGAAAUUGUGCCACCGUCACCCCCUUUCCCUGAAUGUUAAGAGGUGAGUUUUGUUUGAUCCAACACAUCUGUGACCGUGGGGAGUACACAGUACAGGAUAUUGCGACUUUUACGUACAUUCUGCAUUUAAUGCCCCCAGUCCUUUGAGCACAAAGCUAAAUUUAAAAAAAGAAAGCCGAAAGUUAGUACAUACAGAACCUCAUAUUUUGUGUAGGUUGGGCAGGUAAAACAAAUAAAUAAAGCUACACGUGAGCGUCUCACACACAAUGACUUUAGUCUGCAAGAAGCCGCAAAACAGGGUUGUUAAAAACAAGAUGUCACUCUCUGCACGUUUUAAUAGUUGUUUUAUUGGUCUUAAUAGCUUUUAUGUAUAUUAUGAACUGCUUUGCGAUUUCUAAGAGAAAAGCAUUUUUAUAAGCUUUUCUUAAAAACAAAAACGAAACCAUAGCAAACUAGAAUGUCAAAGUGACGGGCUCUGGCAUAACCCCGGACUGACUAGAUUUCUAAAGGGCAGUGGCUUGAUUUCCUUACGGGAACCUGUUCAACUAUCGCUGCUCUCCUGGAUGGCUUUUAAAAGGUAUUAGACAAAUUCACAGAGGAUAAGGCUGCCUGUGGAUACUAGUCCAUGAUAACCACCGUAUCUGGUGGCAGUGCACCUCUGAAUACCAGUUGUUUGGUGGGGUCACUUGUGAAUGAGAGGGGGCUGUUUAUGGGCACCCCAGAGGCAUCUAGCUGGCCGGUCUGUGAACAGAAUGCCAGAUUAGAUUAGCCUCUGUGAUCCAGUCGGGCUCUUCUUGCAAGAGGUCCUUACUGCCUGGGAUCCAAAAUCUGUGUCUGUUCUUACCAAUAGUUUCCCCUAAGUGUUUUAUCUGUGACAGCAUGGACUAAGAACUUGCCAUUUCCUUUUUUGUAAAUCUGCAGCUGGGCUCCCAACUCCCCAUCGGAUCUGAUGGCUGGGGCUGUCGGGCGUUGGAGUCUUGACAACAUCUGGAGGGGAAACACUUACCCUGGAGUAAAUGAAAAGUUUGGGUUCCCAGAGACCUCAGUAUUGGCAGUCAUAUUGCACCAUUGAGUACAUUUCCAUUCUUCCUGGAAAGAUGGAGUGCUUGACUGUGAGUAGUUGCGAUCAGUGGCAGACCUACAUUUGGGGGUGGGGGUUCACAACUGGUAACGAGGUCUGGGUAACUACUGUUAUCUUCUUCAGUGGGGUUGUUCCAUGACCGAUCACCACACCUUUACAACAUUCGUGCUACUGACUCUCAAACUUUUGGAUUGUUGAAAUAUCCAUACUCAAUUCAAUGCUACUCAAAUUAGGUCAUCUACACCCAAAAAUGUUAAGUUGCUUCUGGAGUUCCUCUGAAAUUAGGGGCCCGGAAGGUUAAGCUUCAUUAGUUUCAUGGUUCAGUGGUACCUUGGUUCCAGAAGUCGGUUCCAAAACUAAAGCGCAGUUUCCCAUAGAAAGUAAUGCAAAAUGGAUUAAUCUGUUCCAGACUUUUAAAAACAAUCCCUAAAACAGCAAUUUAACAUGAAUUUUACUAUCUAACGAAACCAUUGAUCCAUAAAAUGAAAGCAAUAAAUAAUGUACUGCAGUCACACAAUCAAUCAGUAGCUGAACUGGGUUCCACACAGUCACAAAAACCAAACAAAAAAGAGCUGCAAAAAUGCAAAAUAAAUAGCAAAAUCAAACAGACCUCAGCGUAACACUCAUAUUGGAAGCGUAACACUCAAAACGGAGCACGUUCAGCUUCCGAAAAAUGUUUGCAAACCGGAACACUUACUUCCCGGUUUGCAGUGUUUGGGUUCUAAGUUGUUUGAGUACCGAGGCGUUUGAGAACCAAGGUACCACUGUAGAGCCACCUCUGGCUGCAAUCUUUCUUGAGGGAGGCAUAAAUGCUGAGACGGAUUUCUUGGAGGGGGAGCCUCAGGUGUUAAAGGUUGCAUGAGAGUCUGAAGUUAACGCAUUCCCGAUUUCUUGCUUCUGCUUUGUGACAGAAACUGCUGCACUCUGAAAACACGGAAUCCGCGUCAAGGAAUUCACAGCGCAACGCAAUCUGAUGGUUGGAAUUUUUUUUAUUAAAAGAAACUUGAGGUAAGUGAAAUAAACAUCAGCACCACAAGUUGUCCCAAGACGUACAUCAAUUAAUACUUCUGUCGGAUGGUUCAACUGGGCUCUCUCUCUCCACUUGUCCCCUCCACUGCCUGUAUUUCUGCUACAGACUUAAUGAGAACAGCAUCUUUUAAAUCAGGGCUCCCCACCACGACACCAGUGUGCCUGCCAGUACCUCAUAUGCUACCCACUGAAAGAAAAUAAUCCAUUUUGUGUUAGGCCACACCCCCACAACAGCCAUUUUGUAACUGGCGCUCACGGCACUUUCUCAAAAUUCCCAGUGUGCUUGCUGGCCCCAACAGGUUGGCAACCCCAGUUUUAAAUGUUCUCUUCUCUCCAGAAAGGGGGGGCCAGAGCACGUACUCUCACGUUCGCCCAUCUGUCCCCACCCUGGUCCCAAUCAGCAUUGUGUGGCCAGCGGCAGGUAUGAUGCAUUUAUUAACAUUUGCUGAUAAUCCUCCAUCAGGUUAGAUUUCCCGUUUCCACCGCAAUUCUUUUUGGAGGCAGUGCAAGGCAAGGAUCCCAAGACACGGUGGGUGGCUGACUUGAAGGCCACGGCAUCGUCACCAGACUGGAUUAUUGAAGCUGGUUGCUGCAGCACAAAGGUGCUCUUUUUUGUGGCAUGUUCAUCAGUACAGGUGGACUCCUCCACCUUGGGCGAUUGCUGCAGGGGAACGGGACUUAUCUGGCAGUGCAGAACCAGUUGUGGGGAUUUGCGAGUCCUUGGCCUUUCUGACGUGUCGUUUGGAGAGAGAGAAAAGUGGCCACAUGCUUACUACAGUUAACAUCCUAGAGUUACGCUCAGCUGACGUUCUCUCUCCUGGAAAGUAUUUGGGCAAGGCUUAGGUUUCCUUUAGUGACGUAAACAAGAAGCAGUUUAAGAAGGGAAGACACUAAACUAGUGUUUGCCAGCCUGGUGCCCCCAGAUGUUUUGAAUUAACUCCCAGUGGGAAUGGUAGCCCAAAACAUCUGGAUGGUGCCAGGUUGGUGCCAGCUGCAUUGAAUCCUCAAGAGGCAGGUAAUGAGAAUGCAGGUCGAAAGUCUCUUUUUUCAGGAAUGUUAGGAGCCAGCUCCUUCCAUUGGGUUCAAAGCACAGUGCUAAAAGUCCUUAGCAGCUGUCCUUUCCAGACACUUUCCAUUAUUUUC